GGAAGGAGCCUCCCUUGAGGAAAUGCCUCCAGGAGAUCCAGCUGUUUCUCCCAGAACUGCUGCUGCAAGGACAUCAUGGCUGUUUGUGAUCUCAUCUAGAAAGUUCUGUCACAUUAUGUUGUUCUAGUCACCGGUGUGUCACGAAGCCUGGCCAAAACUCAAGAAGAGGGCAAACUUCACUGGCCAGUGGGAAGACUGGCAAGGGUACACAAGGCCUUUUCAAUCGUUGCUAAGGUUAAUAUAUAUGUGCCACCAAAGGAAUAGAAUGGCUGGAUUUAAACGGAGAAAAGCAAAAUGACUCCGAAAGGAUAAAUCUGACUUAACAAGGUCAUCAGGGAAAAUAAUUAAGUGAAAGAAAUGAAAUCUAACAGAAAAAAAAAGGCAGCAGGGAAGUUGGAAGUCUUGAGAAACACACUGAGUGAUCCAAGACCAUCACAUCUGGGCUUGCUGACCUUCCGUACCACAGGUAAGCGAUGUUAGCAGAAGCCGGCAAU